rnacentral:rRNA from 1 species
GAUGAACGCUGGCGGCGUGCCUAAUACAUGCAAGUCGAGCGAACAGAUGAGGAGCUUGCUCCUCUGACGUUAGCGGCGGACGGGUGAGUAACACGUGGAUAACCGACCUAUAAGACUGGGAUAACUUCGGGAAACCGGAGCUAAUACCGGAUAAUAUAUUGAACCGCAUGGUUCAUUAGUGAAAGACGGUUUUGCUGUCACUUAUAGAGGGAUCCGCGCCGCAUUAGCUAGUUGGUAAGGUAACGGCUUACCAAGGCAACGAUGCGUAGCCGACCUGAGAGGGUGAUCGGCCACACUGGAACUGAGACACGGUCCAGACUCCUACGGGAGGCAGCAGUAGGGAAUAUUCCGCAAUGGGCGAAAGCCUGACGCAGCAAUGCCGCGUGAGUGAUGAAGGUCUUCGGAUCGUAAAGCUCUGUUAUUAGGGAAGAACAGAUGUGUGAGUAAAUAUGCCCGUCUUGACGGUACCUAAUCAGAAAGCAACGGCCAACUACGUG